GCCUUUUAUUUCUGUUGUCGGCAUGCUGAGGCUAGGAAUUCCAGUGAGAGUAGAUGGUUCCUGUCUUGUUCCUGAGCACAGAGGAAAAGCUCUUAGUUUUUCCCCAUUGAGGAUGAUCUUAGCUGGGAGUUUAUUAUAGAAGGCCUUCAUGAUGUUGAGUAAGAAGAUCUGGGGUCAGGAGAGCCAGGGUCUGACCUGGCAGGUCUCAGGCCACUGUCACUGAGCUCAUUGCUCUGCCCCUCCAGGCCCGUUUCCCCACCUACACACUCACUGAGGACAGCUGGCCUGGCUGCUUUCUCUCGGAGGAACAUGUGGGCAUCUCCAGGCUCUUCCCCUGUCCUGAGCUGACUUGUAUAUCACCCAAGUAAGAAGAGAACGUAUUCUCCUUGUAAACAACUAAAACAAUGCAGAAGAUUUCAGCUUCUGGGGUCAGAGAAACUGGAGUCACCCUCCCACUUUAAAUAACCAA